rnacentral:sRNA from 2 species
UACUCCGCCGUGUCGUGCUGGAUGAGAACCUGCGUGCAGGUUCGAGCCGAGCGAAGCGAGACGACAACGCACAGCGUUGCCCGCAGGGCGAGGCCAGAGGCCGAGUCAAUCCUGCACGACCCACCA